rnacentral:lncRNA from 1 species
CAUAGGCUUGAAAAUGCAGACCCACUAUUUCGCAUGCACGCCAGGCAAUGCAGAAAAGUGAGAUGAUCUCUGAUCAAAGUACCUUCGCAAGGCAACCAAAAGAGGGAGGAGAGGUGCUGGUGUGACCCCUCACACCAGCAAAGGGGAUGCCCAAGGAUGGGCCCAUGGCAAGGAAGAAGAGGGUGGCAACAAGGGGAGAC